UACGUAGGGUGCAAGCGUUACUCGGAAUUACUGGGCGUAAAGCGUGCGCAGGCGGUCUUGUAAGUCUGUCGUGAAAUCCCCGGGCUCAACCUGGGAAUGGCGAUGGAGACUGCAAGGCUAGAGUUUGGCAGAGGGGGGUAGAAUUCCACGUGUAGCAGUGAAAUGCGUAGAGAUGUGGAGGAACACCGAUGGCGAAGGCAGCCCCCUGGGUCAAAACUGACGCUCAUGCACGAAAGCGUGGGGAGCAAACAGG
rnacentral:rRNA from 1 species